AGCCACCUCAGGGGAAGCAACAGAUCGUCACUCGGUGUUCUCACCGAAAGCACGUAAUCGCCGGUGUAACUCAUGUUGGCUGGGGGGCCUCCCGGCGCGCGCGGAGAGGCUGGGGUGCGCCCCCAUGCAGCAUGCUUGUGCUCAAUUGCAGGGUCCUCGUUCUCGAGUGUGCAGAGGGCGGUGAGAGCUCAACUCUCGUCCCCACCUCCCACCCGCAGCUCCCCGGGUGGGUGAGGGAUGCCCUGGACUGGGGAUAGCCAGGUGGGAGUCCGUCGCUGUGUGGCCUGUGGUCUCGGAGUCUGUUCUCCUGGAGUCUCGCAUUUGCACCCCCUUCUUCGCAGUCCCCCUCCCAUAGACUUGCUCUGGGAAGCGCCUCUGCCUCCGACCCUAGCCGGAACCCCUUCGGGGCCAGAGUUUGAAGCCGUGGAUGUGCCUGCCUGGUGGCUUGUCCGAUUUGCACGGUGACUUGAUUACACUCUCUCAUUCAUGGUCACUUCCGAAGCGCUUUAGUGCCUUCCGUCCCUAAACCGCCAACAGCCAGAACGGCUUCUCCCCGCGGUUUGUCACUGAUCCGCAGGGCCCGGAAGGGCCUUCGUCUUACCCGGGAUCCACCUCUCCCCUCAUCUUCCCUGCCUACCUCUUCAUCCCACCUUCUGUCCUUGGAGAAACUCCCUCCUCCUCGCUGCCUGCCGGGCUUCGGAGUGACUCGGCAGAGACAGAGGCACAGGGGCUGCCCUGCUGCUCACCGGUCCACCCAUCUGCCUGGUCUUCUGGAGCUGAGGACUCGGGAAACCAUGCAAUUGAGGCAAGCCUUGGGCUGCUUUAGAGGCGCUGACAUCCGAGGAGACUUCUCCUGGGGAGGUCCAACAGCCGAGCUUAGCCCACCGGGCUCUGGGAAAGACCCGACUGAGGCUAAAGCCGCCCCGGAAGGCCAAGUCCGAGUUCCAUUUCUUGAAGAGGCCGGCGCGCGUAAGGCUGUGACAUUGGCCCUGGCGACUGGCUUCCCAGGAGCUGUUCUUUCUCAGGAGCUCCACAGCGCGGGCCAUCUCCAGAAAACUGUCUUCAGAGUGUAUUUCCUUUUAUCGUCAACCCAGAGCCCCACCGCGGCUAAUGCAAGAGGCCAAAAAAUGUUUGGAGGAAGAAAAACAAAGGCAGGAAGUGGCGGCGGCCUGACGGUGCGUGUGUGUCUGCAGAGAAGGGAGGGAGCCGGCUCAGUCUCUUCUUGUUUUUCCAAACUUCAAGGUCCAGGCAGCCCUCUGCAGGGCCGGGCCCCAUUGCUCCCCGCGCGGCAUUGGAGGUGGCCGCCCGGAGAGGAGAAGGCCAACGCCUGCGCCAGGCUUGUCAGGCGGAAACGGCUAACAAGGAGAUUUGGUCAGCAAAACAGACCCAGCCUUUCCGAGGCUUCGUCUGACUUGGCCCGAAAGGUUGGGGAGGGGGGGCUUGCGCAGAGCCUCAGGGACCCUCCUCUCUGGGGACUACCAUCCCUGAGCCUUACGCUUCUUUCCACAGCCUUUGCAGGCGGAAUAUCGGAAUAAAGUGGGUCCAGGCGCC
rnacentral:lncRNA from 1 species